CGGUAAUACGUAGGGUGCGAGCGUUAAUCGGAAUUACUGGGCGUAAAGCGUGCGCAGGCGGAUUGUUAAGUGAGACGUGAAAUCCCUGGGCUUAACCUGGGAAUGGCGUUUUGAACUGGCAGUCUAGAGUGUGUCAGAAGGGGAUGGAAUUCCACGUGUAGCAGUGAAAUGCGUAGAGAUGUGGAGGAACACCAAUGGCGAAGGCAGCCCCCUGGGAUAACACUGACGCUCAUGUACGAAAGCGUGGGUAGCAAACAGGAUUAGAUACCCUGGUAGUCCACGCCCUAAACGAUGUCAACUGGUUGUUGGGGGAAUAGGAUCCUCUAGUAACGAAGCUAACGCGUGAAGUUGACCGCCUGGGGAGUACGGUCGCAAGAUUAAA
rnacentral:rRNA from 1 species